rnacentral:rRNA from 1 species
UAGGGGAUCUUCGGCAAUGGGGGCAACCCUGACCGAGCAACGCCGCGUGAGUGAAGAAGGUUUUCGGAUCGUAAAGCUCUGUUGUAAGAGAAGAACGUGUGUGAGAGUGGAAAGUUCACACAGUGACGGUAACUUACCAGAAAGGGACGGCUAACUACGUGCCAG